GCCUGCUUCGGCAGAACAUAUACUAAAAGUGGAACGGUACAGAGAAGAUUAGCAUGGCUCUUGUGCAAGGAUGACAUGCAGAUUCGUGAAGCAUACCAUAUUUUU